GCAGCUAACCGGCCUGCGGUUCUGCCGGCAACGGGACGGGGACAGGAAGUGAGUGUUCUAAACCAGGGCCUUCCAAGUUAUGACAGAUUCAUCAGACAAAUGAACCCGCGAGCACAGAGGGCCGCACCUCCCUGCGCGUCAGGCGAGAAGAGCCGCUCCAGCUCCGAGGGCAGAGGCGCCUUCCAGCCCUUCCCGGCCCUUCCCCGAGCUCCAGACUGAACGGAGCACAGGGCAGGGCCCGCGCUACCAGUCGAGAUAGGCCGUGCUGCCAGUAAAUGAACGAACACAGAAACGGGACAGGAAGCAGAGUCUGAAACGCCGAGGGCACGCCGCAGUCGGCCCAGGUGAGCGGGGAAGGCGGCCCGUCCGUCACCGGUUCACGGAAGAGCCCGCAGGAAGCUGCCGGCCAGCGAGAGGCUGGAGAAACGGGGUAUCCACGCGACUCAGCACAUCGCCCCACAGGUUUCUACUAAUUAUUGCUUACUAAUUUUGUGAGUUCAAAAUACGAAUUAAUUGACCUUAGGGUGGAGAAACCUGGCAGACGUGACCUUCACCGGGUGGCAAAUGUUCAUACCGCGUGCACUGGGACAGACAGAUGUCGUGCGCCUCCCGGUGCCACCACCAGGCAGAACAAUACGUCGUUUCUGGGAGAUUUCACCAAAAGCGCAGAAGUGGGGCCCAAUGAGGAGGAGACAUCACAGAAACCCAAACGGAGGGAUCGCUUACCGAAGAGACAGCGAGAGGGAACACAAGCAGGGGGAGCG